UGCACUUGCUAAAACAUUCUCCUCUCUGGGUCUGGAAGCCUAGAGUCUAUAUCCAUAUGAGGCACUGGGCAGGUAUUCCAGACUUCUGAGUCAUGGAUGAAAAAUGCCAUCUUGCAACUGACACAGCAAUUCCUUUGCCAAGAAAUCAUCAUAUCCUUAGUUUCUUAUGUUGAGGAAAAGUGAUGAAUUAAUUACAAAUUUCUGCAAAUGGAAGUUCAUUCAUUUAUUUGGCCACCAAAUAUUUUUUGAGUUUGGAGAUCAAAGCAGUAGAGUCUCAACUCUGAAGUCAGACAGACCUGGGUGGAAUCCUGGCCAUACCAUUUUCAAGCUAUGUAACCUCGAAGAAAUUCUGUAAUCUCUCUAAACCUCAAUAAAAUGAAAAUGUUCACAGUGUCCUAUAAAAAAAAAAAAA
rnacentral:lncRNA from 1 species